rnacentral:misc_RNA from 1 species
GAUCCCUCACCGGCUCAACCUCGGGCCGGGUUCAAACUCUCUGCUACUGUUCUUUGCUGUUCUUAGAAAAUCCACUUCUGGCCAUAGUUUAAUCCCAAAAUUUUGUAAUGAUGGCCGACAAAAGCAAGAUUUUGUUGAUUGGCGGCACAGGUUACAUUGGCAAAUUCAUAGUGGAAGCAAGCGCAAGAGCUGGUCAUCCCACCUUUGUUCUUCUCAGACACUCCACGCUCUCCAAUCCUCAAAGAUCCAUUAUCAUAAACAGCUUCAAGAAUUUAGGUGUCAAAUUUCUCAUUGUUAGUAUUUUCUUUUGGGUUCAGAGUAGAAGUAGAUUAUUAAUAUCGUUUAAGUUGAUUUUCUUUCAUUCUGAUUUUGGCAUGGUUGGUAAUUUUUGACAACCCACAAAGUAAAUGUUCAGAAUCCUUUCAUCAGAGGAAUUUUAUUGAAAUUUGGUUUUUCUGUGGAUUUGAUAAGAAGGUCUGGGCUUGUUGAUUGGCAACCCAGUAGAGCAUUUGAGACUUUGUCAAAUUGUCAUCUUGAUUAGCUAGUGGUUUUUGUAUGUUAUGCAGGGAGAUUUAAAUGAUAACCAGAGCUUGGUGAAGGCAGUCAAGCAAGUGGACGUGGUGAUUUCUACAGUAGGUCAUGCUAUGUUGCCGGAUCAAGUCAAGAUCAUUGCUGCCAUUAAAGAAGCUGGUAAUGUUCAGGUAUGCUAUUUGGGUUUCAUCUUUCUAUUUCGUCAUGACUUAUGCUGGCCAAGCAUUCCUCUAGGUUGUGUAUUGGACAAAAAAUGUUGAAAUCACGAGAUUUUGAUGUUGAUAAUGCAUAUGUUUUCUAUGAUUAUAUAUUUAUAUCAAUUUUCUAUGAUUAUAUACUUAUAUCAAUUAGAACAAACCAGCCCAUAAUCUUGGCUCAAGGAAAAUAGUGGACCUUUGAUCAAAAGCACAUGAACCAACAGAAGCUUCUUGGAAGCAUGGUGGGUACAGUGUUAACUUGCUUAGAAAAAAUUGUCUUCGACAAUGGAAUCUGAUCAGUGGGAUUUCAAGUAUUUACAUAACCUUCUUCUUUCUGAAGAAAUGAUUCAUCAAAAUAAUAAGCUACCAUUAAUAUUUACACAUAUGAGAUCACCAAGCGUUCAGUGGUUCUCUAUUCAAUCCUUUUUCUUCUUGUCAUUGCUGGAUAACUUGUUUGGACACAUCUUCUCUUUGUUUCCUGAGUGAGGUAUAGACAGAUUUCAAAAAGGUCAAAUCUUUAAUGAUUCCAUCAUACAUGAUUGAAUUGUGAAACUUCUGGAUAAGUAUCCUAUGUUUGAACUGAAAUCUUUUUUGUUAAAGAAUCUCUUUCUAGUCGCAUGAGUAUAAAUGGCCAUUUGCUAAAGUUUUGAGUAGGCACAAAUUUGAAAAAUAGUGAGGCGUGUGCCAUGAGUGAAGCAAACUUCUUACUUGCAUAUGAGAGUAUUUGUUUGUGUGAGUGUAUUUUGUGAUUGUACUAGAUAAAGCACUAAACAAAGUUGAGUGUAAUUGAGUUAAGUUUUCAUGAGUGUUCGAGAAAUUAGUUGUAUUUUUUUUUCUUUCCAUUAAUAGUGCAUUGAUUUGUUGAAUAGGCCAAUUGCGGAACCGCUUAAAACUUUGUAUUCUGAUUAUUUUGUCAUUGUGAGUAUAUUAAGUGUUGAUUGAAAAUAUGUAAUAAAACUAAAAAUGUGUCAAUUUUUAAUGAACUUUAAGUUCUCAUCUAUAUUGAUGAAUCUAAUUAAUUAAAGAAUUGGCUUAAUUUUAUUGAAGCAAUUUAAAGUGAAAUCACAUCCAAAUCCUCCUUUUGAAAUUUUUCUAUCCAAACUUAGCACUAGAUUUACUAUCUCUAUAUCUUUUUCUAGGAUGGGAGAAAUUAGCUAAAUGUGUUUAGUUUGUUUGAGAUUUAAUGAGCUCUUUGGCUGUCUUAUGAAAAGAACUCAUUCUACCCAGAGGUUCUUGCCUUCCGAGUUUGGAAAUGAUGUGGAUCGCAUUCAUCCUGUUGAACCUGCAAAAACAGCAUACGACACCAAGGUUAAAAUCCGGCGAAUUAUUGAGUCUGAAGAUAUUCCAUACACCUAUGUGUCAUGCAACUUCUUUGCCGGCUACUUUCUUAGUAAUUUAGCACAGCCUGGAGCCAUUAUUCCCCCAAGAUUCACAGUUGAUAUACUAGCCCCAAGAUUCACAGUUGAUAUACUAGGAAAUGGAACUGCAAAAGGUAAACGCAGAAUGAACUAGAGUAAACAGUAGAGUAACCUAGCUGAUGCAUUCUCUUUGUAUAUCAUAUUCAGUUUCGGCACAUCUGAUGAAGACAUCUUCUAAAACAAGCACAUCAUAUUAGAGAUUAUUCUAUUUACCUAUUCAUAAAGUAUCAGUUGUAAUUUUGUUUUGCGGGAUGACUAGCAGAACAAAUGCGGAAUAUUACUUUGAGCUCAAAUAUAUUUUUUUAGAUGCUUACUUAUCUUUUGGUCAACAGCAAUUUUCAACGAGGAAGCUGAUAUUGGCACUUACACAGUGAGAGCAGUCGAUGAUCCAAGAACCUUGAAUAAAAUCCUCUAUAUUAGGCCUCCUAAGAACAUCUACUCAUUUAAUGAUCUUGUGUCCUUGUGG